rnacentral:lncRNA from 1 species
UAUGUAUAAACUUAAAAAAAAAAAAAGAGGCCACAUGCACCUGUGGAUACCAGUGUGUGUGUUCAAAUAAAGAGAGAAAGAUAAAAUAUGGUACAGAGAAAAGUCAAAAAACUGAAUGAAACAAAUUUCAAAAAGCUUUACAAAAAUGUGAGUUUAUUGACAGGUUUUGUGAAACAUAAAAUAUGUGUAUUGUAACGUGGCCAUUCCUGGAUUCUUCUCCACUAGAGUGAUACAUGAAGUAUUCAGGACACUUCUGAGAAAAGAAGGGGAGAACCAAGAAAAAUCUCUGCUACUAAAGCAUGAAGACUAUGAACAUGAAGGGAGAUGACCUCAUCUGUAAGAGGGCUGACUUUCAAUAGAUGGCAGCGAGGGAGCUGCUCUGCUACGUACAAAACCAUGAAUGCUCUCUUUUCAUUUCCAUUUUCAUGAGUUAUAAAGAACAAAUUUAUUUCUCACAGUUCUGGAGGCUGGGUAGUUCAAGAUCAAGGUGCCAGCAUCUAAUGAGGACCUUCUUGCUGUGCCAUCUCAUGGUGGAAGUUAGAAGGAAACGAGAGCGUGAGAGAGAGAGAGAAAGUAAAACAAGGUAGAAUAUCUGUUUUCUGGAAAGACUGAGCAAGAUGUAUGCAUUAUUGCUUCAGGAGACUGUACAAUGUUGGAAUUUCAGGUUGCCUGCUAGAAGGGGAUUGAUUAUCUGGAUGGAAACACGACAUAUUUUUCUGGUUACAGAAUAUACCAAGGAAAAUGAGAGCAUCCCAAAUGAGAUAAUGUAGAGUGGUCCAAGACAUUCGACUGGGCUGUCUCCAAAACUUAUAAGAAGUGUAUGGCAAACAUCUUUUAAUUUCCUUUGAAUGAGAAGAUUAAGAGGGAAGAAACUAAACUGUGCUCUAAUGUCAAUAGUUUAAAAUGUUAUCAUGCUAAAAAUGACACAAAGGAACGAUUCAAAAGAAGUCGAUGAUUAUUCUAUAGGUAUUACUAUUAUUAUUUGAAUAGCGGUGUAAAUUGUAACAUAGGAAUUUGCAGAACUUUAAAUCUAAUUAAUGAAAAAUAAACCUUAUAUCUAAUGUAAGCUGAUACCUAAAUUUCAGCCCAAUAUAGGACAUGUUCUCAAUUUCUCACACUUACAGGCCAGUUACACUUUGUUUUAUCUCUCAUUAAAUCUUUUAUAUCAUUUUAAAACCUUAAUAAUUUUUAUGAAAAAUGUCUGGAUGAAACGAAAAUGUUAAAGUUUCAUAUGCCUUAUGCAUUAAGCAGAAAAUUUCCAAUUCAGACUUUUCUCACAGAUGUGUUUAAGUUGGCCUCUGCUCCUAGCAGGUAAAUUACCAAAUAGAGAAGCAAGUAUUAGCUUACAGGAUUUUUAAAAUUUAUUGUUAAAUUUGCAUAUAGAAAAAUUCACUUUUGUGCUGUACUUUUAUAGUAAAGAUUUACCCCUACCCCAACUCCUGGCAACACACUGUUCUUGAUCCCUGUAGUUUUGUUUUUUCCAGAGUGACACGUAAAUGGAAUCUUAUGUAAUCAUAUGUAAACUUUUGAAUGUGGCUUAUUGCCCUUAGCAUACGUAUUUGAGAUCUAUGCAUGUUGUUAUGGGUAUCAGGAGUUCAAUUACUUUUAUUACUGAGUAGUAUUCCAUUGUAUGGUUGUGCCAGUUUUACUAUCUCCCACUUGAGACACAUUUGAGUUGUUUCCAGUUUGCCACUAUUUUGAGUAAAGCUGCU